rnacentral:rRNA from 1 species
UACGUAGGGUGCGAGCGUUAAUCGGAAUUACUGGGCGUAAAGCGUGCGCAGGCGGUUCUCCAAGUCCGUUGUGAAAGCCCCGGGCUCAACCUGGGAAUGGCAGUGGAAACUAGGGGACUGGAAUCUGGCAGAGGGGGGUGGAAUGCCGCGUGUAGCAGUGAAAUGCGUAGAGAUGCGGCGGAACACCGAUGGCGAAGGCAGCCCCCUGGGCUGAGAUUGACGCUCAGGCACGAAAGCGUGGGGAUCAAACAGG